GACGAACGCUGGCGGCGCGCCUAACACAUGCAAGUCGAACGAGCGAGAGAGAGCUUGCUUUCUCGAGCGAGUGGCGAACGGGUGAGUAACGCGUGAGGAACCUGCCUCAAAGAGGGGGACAACAGUUGGAAACGACUGCUAAUACCGCAUAAGCCCACGGUGCCGCAUGGCACAGGGGGAAAAGGAGCAAUCCGCUUUGAGAUGGCCUCGCGUCCGAUUAGCUAGUUGGUGAGGUAAUGGCCCACCAAGGCGACGAUCGGUAGCCGGACUGAGAGGUUGAACGGCCACAUUGGGACUGAGACACGGCCCAGACUCCUACGGGAGGCAGCAGUGGGGAAUAUUGCACAAUGGGGGAAACCCUGAUGCAGCGACGCCGCGUGGAGGAAGAAGGUCUUCGGAUUGUAAACUCCUGUUGUUGGGGAAGAUAAUGACGGUACCCAACAAGGAAGUGACGGCUAACUACGUG
rnacentral:rRNA from 1 species